AGUGAACGCUGGCGGUAGGCCUAACACAUGCCAGUCGAACGGCAGCACAGUAAGAGCUUGCUCUUACGGGUGGCGAGUGGCGGACGGGUGAGGAAUACAUCGGAAUCUACUUUUUCGUGGGGGAUAACGUAGGGAAACUUACGCUAAUACCGCAUACGACCUACGGGUGAAAGCAGGGGAUCUUCGGACCUUGCGCGAUUGAAUGAGCCGAUGUCGGAUUAGCUAGUUGACGGGGUAAAGGCCCACCAAGGCGACGAUCCGUAGCUGGUCUGAGAGGAUGAUCAGCCACACUGGAACUGAGACACGGUCCAGACUCCUACGGGAGGCAGCAGUGGGGAAUAUUGGACAAUGGGCGCAAGCCUGAUCCAGCCAUACCGCGUGGGUGAAGAAGGCCUUCGGGUUGUAAAGCCCUUUUGUUGGGAAAGAAAAGCAGCAGGUUAAUACCCCGCUGUUCUGACGGUACCCAAAGAAUAAGCACCGGCUAACUUCGUG
rnacentral:rRNA from 1 species